rnacentral:rRNA from 1 species
UACGUAGGGGGCAAGCGUUGUCCGGAUUUAUUGGGCGUAAAGAGCGUGUAGGCGGCCAUGUAGGUCCGUUGUGAAAACUCGAGGCUCAACCUCGAGACGCCGAUGGAAACCAUGUGGCUAGAGUCCGGAAGAGGAGAAUGGAAUUCCCGGUGUAGCGGUGAAAUGCGCAGAUAUCGGGAAGAACACCCGUGGCGAAGGCGGUUCUCUGGGACGGUACUGACGCUGAGACGCGAAAGCGUGGGGAGCGAACAGG